GAGGGUAUGGCUCAGUGGUACAGUGCAUGCUUAGCAUGCACAAGGUCCUGGGUUCAAUCCCCAGUGCCUGUA
rnacentral:tRNA from 1 species